AAAUAGAUACCCGUGGUAGUCCACGCCCUAAACGAUGUCAACUAGCUGUUGGGGCCUUCGGGCCUUGGUAGCGCAGCUAACGCGUGAAGUUGACCGCCUGGGGAGUACGGUCGCAAGAUUAAAACUCAAAGGAAUUGACGGGGACCCGCACAAGCGGUGGAUGAUGUGGAUUAAUUCGAUGCAACGCGAAAAACCUUACCUACCCUUGACAUGUCUGGAAUGCCGAAGAGAUUUGGUAGUGCUCGCAAGAGAACCGGAACACAGGUGCUGCAUGGCUGUCGUCAGCUCGUGUCGUGAGAUGUUGGGUUAAGUCCCGCAACGAGCGCAACCCUUGUCAUUAGUUGCUACGAAAGGGCACUCUAAUGAGACUGCCGGUGACAAACCGGAGGAAGGUGGGGAUGACGUCAAGUCCUCAUGGCCCUUAUGGGUAGGGCUUCACACGUCAUACAAUGGUCGGGACAGAGGGUCGCCAACCCGGCGAGGGGGGAGCCAAUCCCAGAAACCCGAUCGUAGUCCGGAUCGCAGUCUGCAA
rnacentral:rRNA from 1 species